rnacentral:rRNA from 1 species
UACGUAGGGGGCUAGCGUUGUCCGGAAUCAUUGGGCGUAAAGCACGUGUAGGCGGUUCGGUAAGUCCGCUGUGAAAGUCGGGGGCUCAACCCUCGAAUGCCGGUGGAUACUGUCGAACUAGAGUGCGGAAGAGGCGAGUGGAAUUCCUGGUGUAGCGGUGAAAUGCGCAGAUAUCAGGAGGAACACCAAUGGCGAAGGCAGCUCGCUGGGACGUGACUGACGCUGAGACGCGAAAGCAUGGGGAGCGAACAGG